rnacentral:rRNA from 1 species
GACGAACGCUGGCGGCGUGCUUAACACAUGCAAGUCGAACGAAGUGGUGAACGGGUGAGUAACGCGUAAUCAACCUGCCCUUCAGCGGGUGACAACAGUUGGAAACGACUGCUAAUACCGCAUACUGAAGGAGGGGAUUGCGUCUGAUUAGCUAUGUGGAGGGGUAACGGCCCACCAAGGCGCUGAUCAGUAGCCGGGCGGAGAGGAUGAACGGCCACAUGGGGAAUGAGCAACGGACCAGACUCCUACGGGAGGCAGCAGGGGGGAAUCUUCCGCAAUGGACGAAAGUCUGACGGAGCAACGCCGCGUGAGGGAUGACGGCCUUCGGGUUGUAAAGCUCUGUUAAUCGGGACGCGGUACCGGAAUAGAAAGCCACGGCUAACUACGUGCCAGCAGCCGCGGUAAUAC